AGCGGAGGAAAAGAAACUAACAAGGAUUCCCCCAGUAACGGCGAGUGAAGAGGGAACAGCUCAGAUUUAAAACCUGGUGGGCACCGCCUACCCGGAUUGUAAUCUAUGUUGCGCAAGUGCCGAGAUUAGAAUGGUCAACAAGUCCUUUGGAAUAAGGCUUCAAAGAGGGUGACAAUCCCGUUUUUGGCCCAUUUUGGUUCAUAGUGCACUGGCAACCGCGAGUCAGGUUGUUUGGGAAUGCAGCCUAAAUCGGGUGGUAAAUCCCAUCUAAAGCUAAAUAUUGGCGAGAGACCGAUAGCGAACAAGUACCGUGAGGGAAAGAUGAAAAGAACUUUGAAAAGAGAGUUAAACAGUAUGUGAAAUUGCUGAAAGGGAAGCGUUUGCAGCCAGUGGGGUCAAACCGCGGUUUGUUGGGUGUGAUAAUUGUUUUGAUGACACCCGACAGACUCGGAUUGGCGUAAUGGCUGUCAACGACCCGUCUUGAAACACGGACCAAGGAGUCCACCAAACGUGCGAGUAUUUGGGUGUUAAACCCGCAUGCGCAAGGAAACUGAUAUAACAUGCGAUCUUCGGAGCAGCAUGGCCCGGCGAGGACGUUUCAACUGAAUUUGACCGCGGCAAAGCACGUUUGAUGGGACCCGAAAGAUGGUGAACUAUGCCUGAGUAGGGUGAAGCCAGAGGAAACUCUGGUGGAGGCUCGUAGCGAUUCUGACGUGCAAAUCGAUCGUCAAACUUGGGUAUAGGGGCGAAAGACUAAUCGAACCAUCU
rnacentral:rRNA from 1 species